GAUGAACGCUGGCGGCGUGCUUAACACAUGCAAGUCGAACGGAAAGGCUCCUGCUUGCAGGGGUACUCGAGUGGCGAACGGGUGAGUAACACGUGGGUGAUCUGCCCUGCACUUCGGGAUAAGCCUGGGAAACUGGGUCUAAUACCGGAUAGGACGAUGGUUUGGAUGCCAUUGUGGAAAGUUUUUUCGGUGUGGGAUGAGCUCGCGGCCUAUCAGCUUGUUGGUGGGGUAUUGGCCUACCAAGGCGUCGACGGGUAGCCGGCCUGAGAGGGUGUACGGCCACAAUGGGACUGAGAUACGGCCCAGACUCCUACGGGAGGCAGCAGUGGGGAAUAUUGCACAAUGGGCGCAAGCCUGAUGCAGCGACGCCGCGUGGGGGAUGACGGCCUUCGGGUUGUAAACUCCUUUCGCUAGGGACGAAGCGCAAGUGACGGUACCUGGAGAAGAAGCACCGGCUAACUACGUG
rnacentral:rRNA from 1 species